UACGAAGGGGGCUAGCGUUGUUCGGAUUUACUGGGCGUAAAGCGCACGUAGGCGGAUCGUUAAGUCGGGGGUGAAAUCCUGGAGCUCAACUCCAGAACUGCCUUCGAUACUGGCGAUCUUGAGUCCGGAAGAGGUGAGUGGAACUCCUAGUGUAGAGGUGGAAUUCGUAGAUAUUGGGAAGAACACCGGUGGCGAAGGCGGCGAGCUGGUCCAUUACUGACGCUGAGGCGCGACAGCGUGGGGAGCAAACAGG
rnacentral:rRNA from 1 species